AUUGAACGCUGGCGGCAGGCCUAACACAUGCAAGUCGAGCGGAUGAAGGGAGCUUGCUCCUGGAUUCAGCGGCGGACGGGUGAGUAAUGCCUAGGAAUCUGCCUGGUAGUGGGGGAUAACGUCCGGAAACGGGCGCUAAUACCGCAUACGUCCUGAGGGAGAAAGUGGGGGAUCUUCGGACCUCACGCUAUCAGAUGAGCCUAGGUCGGAUUAGCUAGUUGGUGGGGUAAAGGCCUACCAAGGCGACGAUCCGUAACUGGUCUGAGAGGAUGAUCAGUCACACUGGAACUGAGACACGGUCCAGACUCCUACGGGAGGCAGCAGUGGGGAAUAUUGGACAAUGGGCGAAAGCCUGAUCCAGCCAUGCCGCGUGUGUGAAGAAGGUCUUCGGGUUGUAAAGCACUUUAAGUUGGGAGGAAGGGCAGUAAGUUAAUACCUUGCUGUUUUGACGGUACCAACAGAAUAAGCACCGGCUAACUUCGUG
rnacentral:rRNA from 1 species